rnacentral:rRNA from 1 species
AGAGGAAGUAAAAGUCGUAACAAGGUUUCCGUAGGUGAACCUGCGGAAGGAUCAUUAUCGAGUUUUGAAAAGGGUUGUAGCUGGCCUCUAAAAAAAAGGAGGUAUGUGCACACCCGGCUCAUCCACUCUCAAACCCCUGUGCACUUAUCGUAGGCUCGGUGGAAGAGGCUGACUUCGGUCGGUUUCGAAAGCCUUGCCUAUGUUCAUAUACAUACGCUUCAGUUUAGAAUGUCAUCAUGCGUGUAACGCAAAUAAAUACAACUUUCAGCAACGGAUCUCUUGGCUCUCGCAUCGAUGAAGAACGCAGCGAAAUGCGAUAAGUAAUGUGAAUUGCAGAAUUCAGUGAAUCAUCGAAUCUUUGAACGCACCUUGCGCUCCUUGGUAUUCCGAGGAGCAUGCCUGUUUGAGUGUCGUGAAAUCAUCAACCUUCAAAACUUUUUGUUGAGAAGGCUUGGACUUGGAGGUCGUGCCGGCGUUUCUGUCGACUCCUCUGAAAUGCAUUAGCGUGAAUCUUACGGAUCGCCUUCGGUGUGAUAAUUACUGCGCCGUGGACGUGAAGUAUGUUAGUGUUCGCGCUUCUAAUCGUCUUGACGAGACAAUUCAUUUGACAAUCUGACCUCAAAUCAGGUAGGACUACCCGCUGAACUUAAGCAUAUCAAU